ensembl:ncRNA R144.16 ncRNA
AGGCGUGAUGGCCUCUGCAGGGUCUAGGACGGCCACUCUGUGUUCUCUUCUCUUGUUCACUCUCUCCAUUUGCCUCUCGCUUAUAUUUCCCAGUUGGUUGCGAAAAACCACCGAGCGUCGUGGCGGGCGCUUGUGAGUCAGCUUCUUG